rnacentral:rRNA from 1 species
ACGGGGUGCAGCAGGCGCGAAAACUUCGCAAUGUGGGAAACCACGACGAGGGGAAUCCAAGUGCUUGCACAAUGUGUAGGCUGUUUCCAUGCCUAAAAAGCAUGGAGAGUAAGGGCUGGGUAAGACGGGUGCCAGCCGCCGCGGUAAUACCCGCAGCCCGAGUGGUGGUCGUUAUUAUUGGGCCUAAAACGUCCGUAGCCGGCCCGGUAAAUUCGUGGGGAAAUCGGUCAGCUUAACUGACCGAAGUCCGCGGAGACUGCCGGGCUUGGGACUGGGUGAGGUCAGAGGUACUUCAGGGGUAGGGGUAAAAUCCUGUAAUCCUUGAAGGACCACCAGUGGCGAAGGCGUCUGACUAGAACGGAUCCGACGGUAAGGGACGAAGCCCUGGGGCACAAACGGGAUUAGAUACCCCGGUAGUCCAGGGUGUAAACGCUGUGGGCUUGGUGUUGGGAGUCCCACGAGGGCGCCCAGUGCCGGAGAGAAGUUGUUAAGCCUACUGCCUGGG